AAGCGGUGGAGUAUGUUGGUUUAAUUCGAUGCAACGCGAAGAACCUUACCUGGUCUUGACAUCCCGGAGACCCUUAGGAAACUAGGGGUGCUUCCAUCUGGAAGAAUCUGGAGACAGGUGCUGCAUGGCUGUCGUCAGCUCGUGUCGUGAGAUGUUGGGUUAAGUCCCGCAACGAGCGCAACCCUUGCCUUUAGUUGCCAGCAGUUCGGCUGGGCACUCUAAAGGGACUGCCGGUGUUAAACCGGAGGAAGUGGGGAUGACGUCAAGUCCUCAUGGCCUUUAUGACCAGGGCUACACACGUACUACAAUGGCCGAUACAAAGGGCAGCGACACUGCGAGGUGAAGCCAAUCCCGUAAAAUCGGUCUCAGUCCGGAUUGGAGUCUGCAACUCGACUCCAUGAAGUUGGAAUCGCUAGUAAUCGUGGAUCAGCAUGCCACGGUGAAUACGUUCCCGGGCCUU
rnacentral:rRNA from 1 species